GAGGACCCGAGCGUUAUCCGGAUUUAUUGGGUUUAAAGGGUGCGUAGGCGGAUUAGUAAGUUAGAGGUGAAAGCUCGAUGCUCAACAUCGAAAUUGCCUCUGAUACUGUUAGUCUAGAGUAUAGUUGCGGAAGGCGGAAUGUGUGGUGUAGCGGUGAAAUGCUUAGAUAUCACACAGAACACCGAUUGCGAAGGCAGCUUUCCAAGCUAUUACUGACGCUGAUGCACGAAAGCGUGGGGAGCGA
rnacentral:rRNA from 1 species